rnacentral:rRNA from 1 species
AGUUGCGGCCAUAUCCUGGUGAAAAUACGGCUUUCCCCGUCCGAUCAAGCCAUAGUCAAAAACACCCAGAGAGGCCUAGUUAGUAUUGUAGUGGGAGACCAUACGAGAAUCCUAGGUGCUGCAAUU